UACGAGGGGGGCGAGCGUUGUUCGGAAUUAUUGGGCGUAAAGGGUGCGUAGGCGGUUCCGCAAGUCCUGUGUGAAAUCUUCGGGCUCAACUCGAAGUCUGCACGGGAAACUGCGGGGCUUGAGUGUGGGAGAGGUGAGUGGAAUUCCCGGUGUAGCGGUGAAAUGCGUAGAUAUCGGAAGGAACACCAGUGGCGAAAGCGGCGCACUGGACCACAUCUGACGCUGAGGCGCGAAAGCUAGGGGAGCAAACAGG
rnacentral:rRNA from 1 species